rnacentral:rRNA from 1 species
UACAGAGGUCCCAAGCGUUGUUCGGAUUCACUGGGCGUAAAGGGUGCGUAGGCGGCUUUGUAAGUUAGAGGUGAAAGCCCGGGGCUCAACCCCGGAAUUGCCUUUAAGACUGCAUCGCUUGAAUCCGGGAGAGGUGAGUGGAAUUCCGAGUGUAGAGGUGAAAUUCGUAGAUAUUCGGAAGAACACCAGUGGCGAAGGCGGCUCACUGGACCGGUAUUGACGCUGAGGUGCGAAAGCGUGGGGAGCAAACAGG